UUUAUACAUGUAUACAGAAGUUCACAGUGUUAGUUCACAGUUAGCAAACUUUGCUUUUGAUGUAUCAAUUUUUGGUAAGUGCGUUUGUAUAGCUGUAUGAAAUUUGUGUCUUGAUAUUGUUUCAGUUUCGUUUCAAACGCAUCCCAUGCAAGUUUUAAAUUUUUCACCCAAACAAAAUUGGUAAUAGGAAUCUCUUCAUCUUUUGUUCAAAGUAUAAUGACAGUAAUACGAGUAGGUGUGCAGUUAAAUACUUAAAAGUGAACAGUUUACUCAGCCCGAGUUUUCAACAACAAACCAUUGCACUAUAUUUUUCGCCUUUGGCACUACUAAUUUGAAGUAGUAUCUUUAAGAACAUCAAAUCCAUUAAUACCUAAAACUAUUUAAACACC
rnacentral:lncRNA from 1 species